rnacentral:rRNA from 1 species
AGUUUGAUCCUGGCUCAGGACGAACGCUGGCGGCGUGCUUAACACAUGCAAGUCGAACGCUGAAGCACCAGCUUGCUGGUGUGGAUGAGUGGCGAACGGGUGAGUAAUACGUGAGUAACCUGCCCUUGACUCUGGGAUAAGCCCGGGAAACUGGGUCUAAUACUGGAUGCUACAUGUCACCGCAUGGUGGUGUGUGGAAAGGGUUUACUGGUCUUGGAUGGGCUCACGGCCUAUCAGCUUGUUGGUGAGGUAAUGGCUCACCAAGGCGACGACGGGUAGCCGGCCUGAGAGGGUGACCGGCCACACUGGGACUGAGACACGGCCCAGACUCCUACGGGAGGCAGCAGUGGGGAAUAUUGCACAAUGGGCGAAAGCCUGAUGCAGCGACGCCGCGUGAGGGAUGACGGCCUUCGGGUUGUAAACCUCUUUCAGCAGGGAAGAAGCCACAAGUGACGGUACCUGCAGAAGAAGCGCCGGCUAACUACGUG